rnacentral:rRNA from 1 species
CAGCCGCCACGGGAAUACAGAGGGUGCGAGCGUUAAUCGGAUUUACUGGGCGUAAAGCGUGCGUAGGCGUCUUCUUAAGUCGGAUGUGAAAUCCCUGAGCUUAACUUAGGAAUUGCAUUCGAUACUGGGAAGCUAGAGUAUGGGAGAGGAUGGUAGAAUUCCAGGUGUAGCGGUGAAAUGCGUAGAGAUCUGGAGGAAUACCGAUGGCGAAGGCAGCCAUCUGGCCUAAUACUGACGCUGAGGUACGAAAGCAUGGGGAGCAAACAGGAUUAGAUACCCCCGUAGUCCCUGUCUCUUAUAA